rnacentral:rRNA from 1 species
AUUGAACGCUGGCGGCAUGCCUUACACAUGCAAGUCGAACGGCAGCACGGGGGCAACCCUGGUGGCGAGUGGCGAACGGGUGAGUAAUGCAUCGGAACGUGUCCUCUUGUGGGGGAUAACCAGUCGAAAGAUUGGCUAAUACCGCAUGAGAUCGCAAGAUGAAAGCGGGGGACCGCAAGGCCUCGCGCGAGAGGAGCGGCCGAUGCCGGAUUAGCUAGUUGGUGGGGUAACGGCCUACCAAGGCGACGAUCCGUAGCUGGUCUGAGAGGACGACCAGCCACACUGGGACUGAGACACGGCCCAGACUCCUACGGGAGUCAGCAGUGGGGAAUUUUGGACAAUGGGCGCAAGCCCGAUCCAGCCAUGCCGCAUGUGUGAAGAAGGCCUUCGGGUUGUAAAGCACUUUCGGACGGAACGAAAUCGCGCGGACGAACAUUCCGCGUGGAUGACGGUACCGUAAGAAGAAGCACCGGCUAACUACGUGCCAGCCGCCGCCGUAA